GGAGGAGCCAGGUUCUCUGCCUCCCAACCAUAGAGCAACAACAUAUAAUCAAGAGGCUUAAAAGCAUAACUUCUGACCCCACAGUGCCUGGGUUCAAAUCUCAGCUCUGUCACCUACUAGCUGGUUGACCUUGUAAAGUUACUUAUCCUUUCUGUGUCCUGGUUUCCUCGUUUGUAAUGGAUAUGCCCAUCUCUGGCGGCCAUGACAUUUGUCUAUGAUCAACGUUAGCGAUGAUGGGAGUACCCUUCGGCAGGAUGCGAGAUCGCAGGAUCAAAUUAGAUACACUCAGUGGGAAUUGCCUUCGUGUUGCAAAGAACUGUGAGAAGAGUGGAUUUAGCCAGCUUCGGAGAUAGCUGCUGAUUCCUGCUUUGUCAUCACAUACAGUAGUUUCUUUACCUCUUUCCUGUGGCUAAAAAUGAACAACAGUAAAUACAGAAACUAUUUGCUCUGCAUUCUACCAUCUUUCUGUGUAUUAUGCAACAGUUUGGCUAAUCGGGCAGAAAGUUACUGAGUUUGACUCCCAGGAGAGAAGCCAAUUAUGUGUAUCUUAUUAUAAGGUUCAACAAGAUCAGCUGCACUUUAAAUAUUAAAGAAGUGUUCUUUAAGGGACUUUUUCUGACCUUUAAUGCAAUUCAUUUUACAGAACAUGAAAAACAAAUCACCAGAAUAAACUUCCUGAAU
ensembl:lincRNA uncharacterized LOC101673520